rnacentral:rRNA from 1 species
GACGAACGCUGGCGGCGUGCUUAACACAUGCAAGUCGUACGGUAAGGCCCUUUCGGGGGUACACGAGUGGCGAACGGGUGGGUAACACGUGAGUAACCUGCCCACAACUUUGGGAUAACGCUAGGAAACUGGUGCUAAUACUGGAUAUGUGCUCCUGCUGCAUGGUGGGGGUUGGAAAGCUCCGGCGGUUGUGGAUGGACUCGCGGCCUAUCAGCUUGUUGGUGGGGUAGUGGCCUACCAAGGCGGCGACGGGUAGCCGGCCUGAGAGGGUGACCGGCCACAUUGGGACUGAGAUACGGCCCAGACUCCUACGGGAGGCAGCAGUGGGGAAGAUUGCACAAUGGGCGCAAGCCUGAUGCAGCAACGCCGCGUGCGGGAUGACGGCCUUCGGGUUGUAAACCGCUUUCAGCAGGGACGAAGCUUUUUGUGACGGUACCUGCAGAAGAAGCACCGGCUAACUACGUG